rnacentral:rRNA from 1 species
GACAGGGGUGCCAAGCGUUAGGCGGAAUCACUGGGCGUAAAGCGUGCGUAGGCGGUUUGUUAAGUCUGUUGUGAAAGCCCCGGGCUCAACCUGGGAAUGGCAAUGGAAACUGGCGAGCUAGAGUACGGUAGAGGAGAGUGGAAUUCCCGGUGUAGCAGUGAAAUGCGUAGAGAUCGGGAGGAACAUCAGUUGCGAAGGCGGCUCUCUGGACCAGUACUGACGCUGAGGCACGAAAGCGUGGGGAGCAAACAGG